GCCUGGGUGGCUCAGUCAGUUGAGCAUCCGACUUCGGCUCAGGUCAUGAUAUUACGGUUUGUGGGUUCAAGCCCUGCAUCAGGCU
rnacentral:tRNA from 1 species